rnacentral:rRNA from 1 species
UACGGAGGGAGCUAGCGUUGUUCGGAAUUACUGGGCGUAAAGCGCACGUAGGCGGCUUUGCAAGUUAGAGGUGAAAGCCCGGGGCUCAACCCCGGAAUUGCCUUUAAAACUGCAUCGCUCGAAUCCGGGAGAGGUGAGUGGAAUUCCGAGUGUAGAGGUGAAAUUCGUAGAUAUUCGGAAGAACACCAGUGGCGAAGGCGGCUCACUGGACCGGUAUUGACGCUGAGGUGCGAAAGCGUGGGGAGCAAACAGGAUUAGAAACCCCCGUAGUCC